rnacentral:rRNA from 1 species
UACAGAGGGUGCAAGCGUUAAUCGGAAUUACUGGGCGUAAAGCGCGCGUAGGUGGUUCGUUAAGUUGGAUGUGAAAUCCCCGGGCUCAACCUGGGAACUGCAUCCAAAACUGGCGAGCUAGAGUAUGGUAGAGGGUGGUGGAAUUUCCUGUGUAGCGGUGAAAUGCGUAGAUAUAGGAAGGAACACCAGUGGCGAAGGCGACCACCUGAACUGAUACUGACACUGAGGUGCGAAAGCGUGGGGAGCAAACAGG